UACGUAGGGGGCAAGCGUUAUCCGGAUUUACUGGGUGUAAAGGGAGCGUAGACGGCGGUGCAAGCCAGAUGUGAAAGCCCGGGGCUCAACCCCGGGACUGCAUUUGGAACUGUAUGGCUGGAGUGUCGGAGAGGCAGGCGGAAUUCCUAGUGUAGCGGUGAAAUGCGUAGAUAUUAGGAGGAACACCAGUGGCGAAGGCGGCCUGCUGGACGAUGACUGACGUUGAGGCUCGAAAGCGUGGGGAGCAAACAGG
rnacentral:rRNA from 1 species